rnacentral:sRNA from 1 species
GCCAGGUAUGGUGGUGCAUACCUGUAAUCCCAGUGACUCUGGAGGCUGAGGCAGGAGGAUUGCAAGUUCAAGGCCAGCCUCAGCAACUUAACAUAACCCUAAGUAACUUAGUGGCUUAGCAAGACCUUGUCUCAA